AUUGAGCGCUGGCGGCAGGCCUAACACAUGCAAGUCGAGCGGAUGAAGGGAGCUUGCUCCUGGAUUCAGCGGCGGACGGGUGAGUAAUGCCUAGGAAUCUGCCUGGUAGUGGGGGAUAACGUCCGGAAACGGGCGCUAAUACCGCAUACGUCCUGAGGGAGAAAGUGGGGGAUCUUCGGACCUCACGCUAUCAGAUGAGCCUAGGUCGGAUUAGCUAGUUGGUGGGGUAAAGGCCUACCAAGGCGACGAUCCGUAACUGGUCUGAGAGGAUGAUCAGUCACACUGGAACUGAGACACGGUCCAGACUCCUACGGGAGGCAGCAGUGGGGAAUAUUGGACAAUGGGCGAAAGCCUGAUCCAGCCAUGCCGCGUGUGUGAAGAAGGUCUUCGGAUUGUAAAGCACUUUAAGUUGGGAGGAAGGGCAGUAAGUUAAUACCUUGCUGUUUUGACGUUACCAACAGAAUAAGCACCGGCUAACUUCGU
rnacentral:rRNA from 1 species